GGCGGCGUGCCUAACACAUGCAAGUCGCACGAGAAAGGGACUUCGGCCCUGAGUAAAGUGGCGCACGGGUGAGUAACACGUGAAUUAUCUACCUCCGAGUGGGGAAUAACCUAGAGAAAUCUGGGCUAAUACCGCAUAACACUUACGAGUCAAAGCAGCAAUGCGCUUGGAGAGGAGUUCGCGGCCGAUUAACUAGUUGGCGGGGUAAUGGCCCACCAAGGCGAUGAUCGGUAUCCGGCCUGAGAGGGCGCACGGACACACUGGAACUGAAACACGGUCCAGACUCCUACGGGAGGCAGCAGUGGGGAAUUUUGCGCAAUGGGGGAAACCCUGACGCAGCAACGCCGCGUGGAGGAUGAAGCCCCUUGGGGUGUNAACUCCUUUCGAUCGGGAAGAUCAUGACGGUACCGAUAUAAGAAGCCCCGGCUAACUUCGUGCCAGCA
rnacentral:rRNA from 1 species